UUAUAGUGAUAGUAUGCAUUUUUUUCAUAUAAGGACAUUGUAAUCUAUUAACAUAAUAAAAUAUUUAUCAAAAGAUCAUUGGUUUUAAGUUUAUUCAAAUUAAUUUGCUUUUAGCUUAUUAACAUAGAAUAAAUACUAAUGAUUUGAUAAAGUGUUGAUAGAUUUUAUUAUAUAUAAUGCUAAAAUUCUUUGGAAUUUUACAAUAAUUUUAUAAUCUAUGAUUUUAAUAUUUAUUGUAUGCAUUUAUAUGAUUAACAAUGCGAAAGAUUCAGGAUACCUUCGGGACCCGUCUUGAAACACGGACCAAGGAGUCUAACAUAUGUGCAAGUCAUUGGGUUAUUUUAAACCUAAUGGCGUAAUUAACUUAACUAUUAAUAUUUUAAUGGGAUUAGUUUUUAGUCUAUUUUUAAUAGUCUAUUAAUUCAAUCCCGGGGCGUUCCAUAUAGUUAUGUAUAAUGAUAAUUUAUUAUUAUUUAUAC
rnacentral:rRNA from 1 species